GAUGAACGCUGGCGGCGUGCCUAAUACAUGCAAGUCGAGCGAACAGACGAGGAGCUUGCUCCUCUGACGUUAGCGGCGGACGGGUGAGUAACACGUGGAUAACCUACCUAUAAGACUGGGAUAACUUCGGGAAACCGGAGCUAAUACCGGAUAAUAUAUUGAACCGCAUGGUUCAAUAGUGAAAGACGGUUUUGCUGUCACUUAUAGAUGGAUCCGCGCCGCAUUAGCUAGUUGGUAAGGUAACGGCUUACCAAGGCAACGAUGCGUAGCCGACCUGAGAGGGUGAUCGGCCACACUGGAACUGAAACACGGUCCAGACUCCUACGGGAGGCAGCAGUAGGGAAUCUUCCGCAAUGGGCGAAAGCCUGACGGAGCAACGCCGCGUGAGUGAUGAGGGUCUUCGGAUCGUAAAACUCUGUUAUUAGGGAAGAACAAAUGUGUAAGUAACUAUGCACGUCUUGACGGUACCUAAUCAGAAAGCCACGGCUAACUACGUG
rnacentral:rRNA from 1 species